rnacentral:antisense_RNA from 1 species
GCAAGAUUUAAUAAAAAACAAACAAAAAUAGGAAUGGUUGCUUUCAACAUUUUCCAGGUUGUGAAAGGUUUUGACUGAUUUGGGGAAAGAAUGGUGAAAAAGAGCUUCUCAGUUCUCCUGAGGUGCUCGCUGACAACCACACCUGUGUGUCUGGGUGGGGCCGAGUCCGUCACACAGAGGUGACAUGUGAGCUGCUGUUUUCCAUUCAGAGCUACAGGAGUAAUGGGCUGGGAAAAACAGGUGUCCUGCUAGACAGUGGCUGUGAGGAUGUGUAGGCAGGAGCAGUGGCAGCCACCUGGGAGUCAGGAGCUUGCAGCACAAUGGUGCUGGCUGUGUGCGCGCCCGGCUCUGCCACAUGAGCGUGGAAGGCACCACCUGAACAUGGCUUUUGAGGUGCCUAGUCAUCCUAGUCAUUUACUGGGGCAGCUUCCUGAGUGGAAGGAACAUAAGGGCACAGGUAUCAUGGUAAACUUUUGAGUCUAAGGGAUGAUGCUUGACAGCCACACAUGGUGGGUGUGGCCUGCAGCUACAAAGGGUGGGGCCAGACAGCUGGGCCUCCACUCAGCCCACCACCACCUCCAGGGCCUGGCAUUUCGCCUUUGUGCUCCAGGACCUCAGGGGCGGGGAUGCAGGACAGUUCUGGGGAAAAUCUACUUGUAAAGGUCCUGGGGAAGGGGACAGGAGUGGCUGGAGGCUGUGCUCCGUGGGAAAGUUCUUCUCACCAGAGCACACAUCAAAUGCCAGUUCCAGAGAGGGACCCUCUGCCCAACUGUGCUCUCCUAGGGCAAUCAGGAGGAGACUGCCCUCCAACUGGGCCCUGGCUCUCCGGGGUGUUGCUGUGAGUACAAGGCUGUCCUCAGGCAGCUGCCUCAGAUUUGGGCUGGGACUGGGCCAGACGGGGUUCCCGGGGCAGGGGCAGGAAGGAGGCAAGGCUGGCAAGGGGAUUGGGGGCUGCUCUCAGGAACACGGAGAGGCCGCAUUAGGCAGGCAGAGAAGUGCUGGAAAGACUACGUGCUCCUCUCCCACCAGGGACCCUGGCGGCCCUCCUGCUAGUUCUCCUCCUGGUGGAGGACACUGGGGGAUGCCGAACAAGAGGCUAAGCCUGCGGCCCAGGCCCUGCUGAGACCACACCAUGGCUAGCAAGUAGAGGGACAGCAGCAUAUCCCCUCAAUUCUGCCUGCACGGUAGCUGAGCCAGACGUCCCCACACCCACCCCAUUAUCAAGGAAGAUC